CUGGAAACUGAAAUUUAAAGAAAUGGAGUGUUCGGUAGACACAGAGAAUGAUGAGCAAAGGGAAAAUCCUCACUAUAUGCAAAGUACUUUAGUUCAGUUUCAAGUUGUGUUAUGCCUUUUCUCUUUCCAUAGUUGCGUCUUGAAUUAAGAGUGUAAAAUUCAGGAUGCUGGAAGCCACUUCCUAAAAAGAAAAGAGUUUAAAAGAGUUUGUUUGAAAAUGCUCAGGUUAGUAAGAAUCUAAUCACACUCACAAAACUAAACACUCCAGAUUGUUUCAGUAGAUAAAAGGGAUCCCUGAACAAUACAACAUUUAUUUCUUCUGGAACAGAAAAUGUCAAAUGAAGCCCUACCUUGUUGUUUAGAGGCUUAAGGACAUUGUUUUAAUUUAUUCAACCAAUUCAAUUUCCUCUGCCUUCCUGUGGAAACAGUUUUAGCACAUUAAGAAUGAAGGGAUUAAUCACAGACAAAAAAAAAAUGCAGCACUGAUAAAAAAAAGUAAUUUAUUGUUUUUGCAACUGGUAUGUG
rnacentral:lncRNA from 1 species